CUGAAAUUUAGUUGUUUAAUUAAUUAAAGAGAGUUCAAGUACUUAAGCAACAAAGUGAUAGUUUUCCAAUACAAUGUCACCUACCAAACACAUUUGAAAUGCAACACAAUUGAGUAACCACUACUCGACUUUAAAUCAAUGCAUAUAGGGUUCAUCAACGGUUAGCCAAUUGUGUUUCGUCCACGGACCAAAAGGCAGCACCCGCGUUACGCACAUCACGUAUUAAUGCUACUAUAUAAACCAAGCCCUGGACACCCAUGGCAUACAUUGUGUAUCGCCAACCCGUGGCGAUCAGUCGCGUCACAAAAUAAUUGAAAACAGUGCACCAUGAAAGUUAUAGUGCUUCUUUCCAUCGCGGCGUUCGCCAGUGCCCAUCAGCCAGCAUCAGAACUCGUUAGAAACAUUUACAGCGAAUGUCUGAGCCAGUAUUCAGUGGAAUGUGUGAAACCGAGAGCUUUAGAAUGGAUUUCGAGAGUAGCUGAUGACGAUGAGAUCAAGAUCACUGAAGAUUUAUCUAUCGUGAAGACCGCCAUUUUGGAUGAGGAGCCUAGAGCAGCUAAGGAUGACGCGUACGCGAUUGUCGACAAAAUUGAUGGAUUUUUGCAAACUCAUAUGUUGAGAGUGAAAGUUCCUGAGGAGAUCACAAAGAGCGCAGCGUCGGAAUAUGUGCCGCGAUCUCUGCUUUCUGGCUUGCCUUCAGAACUGGACAUGCCUCUGGAUGGUGAAGAAGAUGUUGAAGUGUUCGAAGGCAGGAAGAAGAAAAUCAAGCUGCCCAAGCCUUUGAGGAUCAAGAGCAAGCAUGGUCUCAUCAAGAAGGUGUUGCUGCCUUUCCUCCUCGGUUUGAAGUUCAAGGCCUCAGUCCUGGUGCCCCUGGCCCUGGCCCUCAUAGCCCUGAAGACGUGGAAGGCCCUCACCCUUGGUCUCAUUUCCCUUGUGCUGUCGGGUGCCAUGGUCAUCUUCAAGUUCACCAAGCCGAAGGUCGUGAACUACGAAGUGAUCCACUACCCCCAGCACCACGUGGAACACCACGUCGAUCACCACGCCGGCUGGGAGCACGGGCCCUACCAACGCUCCAUCGAGGACGCGCAAGAACUGGCGUACCACGGACAGAUCUGAACGGACACUGGCGUUAUUUAUUAACUUAUUUAUUUAUUGAAACGAACUGUAAAUAAAGUAUGAUAAGAUACAAUUUAAAAAAAAA